rnacentral:sRNA from 1 species
UCUCUUUUUAUUGUAGGAGAAAUUGACACAAGAUUCUCUUUUUGUGCGGUGGCAACUUUGGCUUUGUUGGGGAAGCUUGAUGCUAUUAAUGUGGAAAAGGCAAUCGAAUUUGUUUUAUCCUGUAUGAACUUUGACGGUGGAUUUGGUUGCAGACCAGGUUCUGAAUCCCAUGCUGGGCAGGUAAUUUAUGAACACAGAUGAAAAUGUAUUGUCAUUUUGGAAGCAAGUGUAGUAGAAUAGGAAAAUGGGUUAUUUCAGUAUUUGUCAAAUACACAUAAAGUUAAUUUGACUGUAAUAGGGCAUCUUACAUAAGAAUUGCUUAAUUGCUAUCAUUACUUUGCUUUAUAUACUAUAUACCUUUCUCUGUCAGUGGAUUCCUCUGACCUAAGCAAACAUAAGUGGGUUCAUAAGCACCGAAACACAUUUGUUUUCCAUUAAUUUUUCACUAACCAUACAGAUUAAAAAAAA